CUCUCAAGGGGAGAAAAGACCAAAAGCAACAAAGACUAGAAAGGACUAGAGAACACCACCAGGAACACCAGCUCUACAGGCAACACAGUUGCACUAAAUUGAU